rnacentral:rRNA from 1 species
CGCAUCUGUGCAUGCAGCAUAUCAAUAAGCGGAGGAAAAGAAACUAACAAGGAUUCCCUAGUAACGGCGAGUGAAGCGGGAAGAGCUCAAAUUUGAAAUCUUCAAGGUUUUACCUUGACGAAUUGUAGUUUAAAGAAGUGUUUUCUGUUGAAGUUUUGGUAAAAGUUCUUUGGAAUAGGACAUCAUAGAGGGUGAGAAUCCCGUAUUUGACCAUUAUUUUCAGCUGUGUGAUACACUUUCAAAGAGUCGGAUUGUUUGGGAAUGCCGUCCAAAAUGGGUGGUAAAUUUCAUCUAAAGCUAAAUAUUGGCGAGAGACCGAUAGCGAACAAGUACCGUGAGGGAAAGAUGAAAAGAACUUUGAAAAGAGAGUUAAACAGUACGUGAAAUUGUCAAAAGGGAAGCGUUUGACACCAGUGUUGUUUUCUCGAAAAUCAAUUAAAAAGAGUUAGAUUUUGUUGUGUAUUGACCUUAACAGCUUGCAUUUCAAUUUUCUUGCUUUUUUUAAUGCACUUUUCGUUUAACAAGUCAACAUCAGUUUCUUUUGUUGUAAAAAGGUCAUUGGAAGGUGGCUUUCUUUUCGGAGAAAGUGUUUAUAGCCUUUGACUCCUGCAAUCGGAGAGACUGAGGUCUGCAGCGUAGAUCCUUCGGGGUUAGAUACAUUUGUGCUAAGUUAUAGCUUUUUAUAGACAACUUGUUGACUAUGAUUAGUCUUGUAGCUUACUCGCUUAUGCUAUUUUACCUACGCUUAGGAUGUUGACGCGCGUGUGUGCGUG